rnacentral:rRNA from 1 species
AUUGAACGCUGGCGGCAGGCUUAACACAUGCAAGACGAGCGGGGUGAUGGUGCUUGCACUAUCACUUAGCGGCGGACGGGUGAGUAAUGCUUAGGAAUCUGCCUAUUGGUGGGGGACAACAUCUCGAAAGGGAUGCUAAUACCGCAUACGUCCUACGGGAGAAAGCAGGGGAUCACUUGUGACCUUUCGCUAAUAGAUGAGCCUAAGUCGGAUUAGCUAGUUGGUGGGGUAAAGGCCUACCAAGGCGACGAUCUGUAGCUGGUCUGAGAGGAUGAGCCGCAAGACUGGGACUGGGACACGGCCCAGACUCCUACGGGAGGCAGCAGUGGGUAAUAUUGGACAAUGGGGGGAACCCUGAUCCAGCCAUGACGCGUGUGUGAAGAAGGCCUUAUGGUUGUAAAGCACUUUAAGCGAGGAGGAGGCUCUUUUGGUUAAUACCCAAGAUGAGUGGACGUUACUCGCAGAAUAAGCACCGGCUAACUCUGUGCCAGCCGCCGCCGUAA